GGGGAUUUAGCUCAGUGGCAUAAGCACCUGUCUUACAAGCAGGCGGUUGUGAGUUCGAUCCCCG
rfam:Cavia porcellus supercont2_8 genomic scaffold, whole genome shotgun sequence.